AACGGCCAUACCAUGCUGAAUAUACCGGUUCUCGUUAGAUCACCGAAGUCAAGCAUCAUUGGGCGCGGUCGAUACUUGGGUGGGUGACCCCUGGGAACACCGCGUGCCGUU
rnacentral:rRNA from 1 species